rnacentral:rRNA from 1 species
AUUGAACGCUGGCGGCAUGCCUUACACAUGCAAGUCGAACGGCAGCACGGGGCAACCUGGUGGCGAGUGGCGAACGGGUGAGUAAUGCAUCGGAGCGUACCUUUCAGUGGGGGAUAACGUAGCGAAAGUUACGCUAAUACCGCAUAUUCUGUGAGCAGGAAAGCAGGGGAUCGCAAGACCUUGCGCUGAUGGAGCGGCCGAUGUCAGAUUAGCUAGUUGGUGAGGUAAAGGCUCACCAAGGCGACGAUCUGUAGCGGGUCUGAGAGGAUGAUCCGCCACACUGGAACUGAGACACGGUCCAGACUCCUACGGGAGGCAGCAGUGGGGAAUUUUGGACAAUGGGGGCAACCCUGAUCCAGCCAUGCCGCGUGAGUGAAGAAGGCCUUCGGGUUGUAAAGCUCUUUCGGCCGGGAAGAAAUCGCACGGGCUAAUACCCUGUGUGGAUGACGGUACCGGAAUAAGAAGCACCGGCUAACUACGUGCCAGCCGCCGCCGUAAAAC